AUGAGACUGCUAGUUUCUGCUGGGAUAUCCUCGUUUUUAUUAGGUCCUUACUACUUGGGAGCUGCUUUUGUGCGGACGCUUGAUUUCCUCGGGCAAAUUUGAUCAAUUGAAACUGGCGAUAAACAACGGGUGGAAAUGACAGGUAAUCCACAUGCUGCACUCAGUUAAUUAGAUGGCAUAGGAAGUGCACAUAAAUAAACAAUUAGGUGGCAGCAGAUAACCGACGCGUAUACAUGCAAUUGCUGCAUAUUAAUUGAAGCUCACUCGCACACAUCGCCUUCUUGGAGCUUGAACACCAGUCCCCUUCCAAUGGCAAGUUCUCCCCCGAAAUGACUGAGUCAUCAGCCCGCAGAUUUGCCCCAACUUGGGAGUAAUUUAAAACGCUACUGCUUGUGAAUGCAUUUGAAAUGCUUUUCCACCGCCUUCCACUCGAUGCGCUCGAGUGUCGCACCCCUCGAAGUGGAGGGCAAAAUGCAUCUGCCAACACCAACGCCAUUAUCCUGGGCAUAUGUCUAAGUCAGAUCAAAGCCAUAAUGCUGGCUGAGUGCAACUCGGGUGUAAGUGCGGAUGACAGCGAUAUUAGGGCCAAUUAGAUGUCCGACUUUGCCGACGAGUAUCACGGCGAAAUGAAAUGAAUGGCCUUUAUUUGCUGGAAAAUCACAUUCAGCGGCGAUCAAAUACCAGCCUCAAGGAUUAGCUGAGCAGUUUG
ensembl:ncRNA lncRNA:CR46086 long non-coding RNA:CR46086